rnacentral:lncRNA from 1 species
AGAGAUCCCUUAAUCGCAUGGUGACCCUUCUUCUAGUCCUUUCCUCUUCUCCGACCUCCCCAUAAAUGGAUUGCGACCAAAAAAAAAAGAAGAAAGAUUUAAUUUUGACAUAUUACAUUAUAUACCAGCCAGAAAAAUUUCUCAAAAUCACUUCCUUUGAACUGAAACCAUUUCCCAAUGUCUAGAAGAGAAUAAACAGUUGGAAGUAAAUUAUACAACGAUAAAAAAAAUAUUUAUAAAGACAGGAGAUAAUAACUCGAAAUAGGGUCAUUAGAAGGUGGAGUUGUCUCAAUUUACUUCCUUUAUCCUUGAGAAAAUGAUAUGAUUUCCUCCAUACCAAGCUGUAGUCAUCUCAAUGUACCGAGGAAUUGAGGGUACCAGGGGGCGCCAUGGGAGAAUGGAGCGGAAUUGGGGGGUAGAGAAUAGACUAUAUAUGUACCUCAUUUGGUUCAAUCAUGCUCCACCGUCAUUAUUCAUUUCAACUGCAGGUUUGGAGGUUCUGAUCAUAGUUUUUUCUUUGUUGUAUGUGAUGCAUACUAAAUCUAUCAUUGUAUUUUGUAUUGUUUUUGAUUUCUCCUUUUUUGGUGGCUCAUCAGAUCAGUGGGGGGUUGCUGUUGAAUGGGCUGCAGCCUUCCUUCUCCCAUAAGUCAUCAUCUGAGCGAGCGAAUUCACCGGCAACUGGAUGAACAGUAAGUUUCUUUUCCAUUAUAUUGUUGGCAUUUGAUCUUGGCAUAGGAUUUCUUCCUCUUCCUUCCUCUUCCUUAUGCCGUAUCGUUUGGGUGUAAAGGUUGUUGUUAGAAAGAAAGAACAACAUAAAUAUAGGGGAGGUGGGUAAUUGGGUUACAGAGAAAGAACAGAACAUGACGAGGAGAAAACUGAUCGAUAUUGGAGAGAGAAAGAAUGGAGCAUUAAAAUCCUCGGCAAGAAAAUCAGAUUUUAAAAAUCAUUCUAGAUUGAUUAGGCACAUGUGGUGCGCGUGUUUUUUUUCCGCAUAAAAAAAUAUGUGCACAGGUUGUAUUCGGUAGAGAUUAGCGUAUAGAAGCUGUAUGCGUGCAGGCACCGGUUAAACAGAUGUCAGCACGUCUUUGUUGCUAUGCGGGUGACCGUGAUGGAAAAAAAAAAAUCCCCGUAGGUUGUCCCGCAUGGAGGAAAAAAAUGCGAUCAUUGCUGGUGGGAAAGUAGGAGGGCGAGGGGGAGAGGAGAUGGGCAAAAGAUGGAAGAAGAAAAGUUGGGAUAGGUAAUGGGGUGAAAAGAGAGGAAAAACAUAAGGAUGCUGCUAGCGUUCCAAAUGAAGAAGGGAGACUAUGAAUACGUAGGAGGAUUGGAGGUUUAGUUGGAGAUGUGGAAGGGGAGAGUGGGCCCUCAAUUUGAGAUGGGGAGGGCAAGAGGAAGGUCUUCCAUGGCUAGUGGCAACAAGGGUGGCAUCGGAGAAGAUUGUGGGUUCUGAACUCUCCCUGUACAGUUAUUUAAAAAAUAAAAAAAAAUGUACGGUGGCCGGGUAGCCCCCCACAUCGUCAUAAAUUGAAAAUUUUGUAGCUACAGAAAAUCCUUUCGACCAAAAAUUCCCAAACCAUGCUUCUACCAAGUUUAAGCUCUCAAAACCUCGAGGGACCAACUCACACUGCCACAAGUCGCACAAAAUCACAUAUGCUUGAGAGAAAAACCUAAUCGGAACCAAUGAAACCCCUCUAAUCUCUCUCAAGUGCUCUCCUUUCCCAAUCGGAACCUAAGAAACCCCUCUAAUCUCUCUCAAGUGCGAUCUUUGAAAAAAAAAAUGAAAUGAAAAGAAAAAGAAGCGAAAAAGCAAAAAAAGAUGAUCAUAUGUGGGGAUCGGCCUUAUCCUUAAUUUUUUUUUUCCGUCUUUCCUUUGUUUUCGUUGAUUUUUUCCUAUAUUUUCCCCCAUUUUUCCUUUAUUUUUUCCGUUCUCAGGAGUCCCAACCGGGUGGAGGCUUGGAGCGGCCGAAUAGGGAAGCUGGUUGGGGUUUUGCGUUGGGUAUUUCCUUUCUUUUUUCCAAUCGGGUGGGAGGCGGAGAGAGAGAGGAGGGGUCGGAUGGAAGCUUACCUGAAAGAGACGAGGCUGUAGAUCGCCGGAAAGCAAAGCACCUGAGGGAGAUCGGAGGGGACGACCGACGCUCGUAACGAUUGGGAGGAAGGCGACGGCGGAGACUGGUGGGAGGUGGCGGCGAGGGACGCAGGAAGGACGUCGGCGUCUUUAUCCAUGGGAAGGAAAGCACCCGAGGGAGAUUAGUAGAGGGUGAAGGCCGAUGCCGGUGACGACGGGGAGGAGGGUGAGGGCCAUCGGGAGAGGGAUUUCGUAAGGGCUUUUUGGGAAAUAAAAAUAAUAAUGUUGUAUUAAUUUGUUGGAAAAAAAAUAUAAAAGAAUAAUUUUAAAAAUAAAUUUAUUUUAUUAAAAAAUUUCUCC